rnacentral:rRNA from 1 species
GAUGAACGCUGGCGGCGUGCCUAAUACAUGCAAGUCGAGCGCGAGAGUGAGGAGCUUGCUCCUCAUGGUCGAGCGGCGGACGGGUGAGUAACACGUAGGCAACCUACCCUUGAGAUUGGGAUAACUACCGGAAACGGUAGCUAAUACCGGAUACGACUUUUCCACAUAAGUGGAAUGGUUAAAAGGCGGAUUUAUCUGCCGCUCAUGGAUGAGCCUGCGGUGCAUUAGCUAGUUGGUGAGGUAGUGGCUCACCAAGGCGACGAUGUAUAGCCGACCUGAGAGGGUGAUCGGCCACACUGGGACUGAGACACGGCCCAGACUCCUACGGGAGGCAGCAGUAGGGAAUCUUCCGCAAUGGACGAAAGUCUGACGGAGCAACGCCGCGUGAGUGAUGAAGGGUUUCGGCUCGUAAAACUCUGUUGUUAAGGAAGAACACUUGAGGUAGUAACUGGCCUUGAGAUGACGGUACUUAACCAGAAAGCCACGGCUAACUACGUGCCAGCAGCCGCCGCAG